CUGCUGCCUUCCGUAGGAGUCUGGUCCGUGUCUCAGUACCAGUGUGGGGGACCUUCCUCUCAGAACCCCUACGCAUCGUCGCCACGGUGGGCCGUUACCCCGCCGUCUAGCUAAUGCGCCGCAUGCCCAUCCCCUUCCGAUGAAUCUUUCCUCGAUCUCGGAUGCCCGAAACCGAUAUACGCGGGAUUAGCCUCCCUUUCGGAAGGUUGUCCCCCUGAAGAGGGCAGGUUGCAUACGUGUUACUCACCCGUGCGCCGGUCGCCGG
rnacentral:rRNA from 1 species